rnacentral:rRNA from 1 species
GACGAACGCUGGCGGCGUACUUAACACAUGCAAGUCGAACGGAGUGGCGAACGGGUGAGUAACACGUGGGCGACCUGUCCUGCACUUCGGGAUAAGCCUGGGAAACUGGGUCUCAUACCAGAUAGUGUGGGAUGGGCCCGCGGCCUAUCAGCGUGUUGGUGGGGUAAUGGCCGACCAAGGCGGCGACGGGUCGCCGGCCUGUGAGGGUGGACGGCCACAUGGGGACUGAGACACGGACCAGAGUCGUACUGUGGGCAGCAGUGGGGAAUAUUGUACAAGGGGCGGAAGUCUGAGGCAGCGACGCGGGGGGUGGGAUGACGGCCUAGGGAGGGUGAACGCCUGUCACCAUCGACGCGUUAGAUGGAGAAGAAGCACCGGCUAACUACGUGCCAGCAGCCGCGGUAAUAC